ACAAAACGAAGGAGACACAACAACGACGACAACAACGAUAGAAAGCUAUAAGGAUGAUUGUAGCUGUUUGUUGUAGCUGUUUGUUGUUGUUGCUGUUGCAUUCUUCUGCAUUGCCCUGCCGUUCUUAUUCUUUAUUUUAUUCAUUCAAUUUGAAUCAUUGAUAUGAUGGAUUUUUUCGGACUGCUGACAAAUCAAAUCGAAUCGAACAUUCAACGAUUUUUAAGAAUUAUAU
rnacentral:ribozyme from 1 species